rnacentral:lncRNA from 1 species
AAGAGACUGGUGGGAAGAUCUCAAUGAACUUAACACUCAAACACAUAAUAUAUCCAACAUGUAGCUCAUACUGGAGAAAGCAAAGAUCAAAUAAACAAAAGUCAGAAACAAGUUUGCCUCCUUAGGUAAUCAAAGCAAUCAUUUGAAUAUAUGCAAGAAACGUAAGGUGAUCCUCAAAAAUAAGAUAAGAUGAAGUAAGAGAUAAUCAAACCUGACUGAUUCUUCUCC